rnacentral:rRNA from 1 species
ACGCUCCACCUACGGAAGGCAGCAGUGGGGAAUAUUGCACAAUGGGGGAAACCCUGAUGCAGCGACGCCGCGUGAAGGAAGAAGUAUCUCGGUAUGUAAACUUCUAUCAGCAGGGAAGAAAGUGACGGUACCUGACUAAGAAGCCCCGGCUAACUACGUGCCAGUAGCCGCGGUAAUCUGAGCGGGCUGGCAAGGC